AGAUGUUAAAAGCCAGAGACAUGGGACAUCAUCAUUCUUUUUAGAUUUUAUAACUCAAACCAACUUUGGAGUUGUCUGAUUUGGAGAGUCAUCAUUCUUGGUCUUCCUUCUUAAAGGCCACUGAUGAAGAGCAGGUGGUGACUAGGAUGAACACUGGUCAAAGAAGAGAAUGUCCUUUCCUCUAAACUGAUGCAGCAGUGGUUUUAAAGGAGGACGCUGCCCCGGAUGAUGUAGAAGAUGUCACAUGUGCUGAUGGGGCUUCUUCAUGACUACAUCA